AUUCUAGUAGCUUAAUAACAAAGCAUUGGUUUUGUAAACCAAAGACUGAAAGCCACAACUUUCCUAGAAUG
rnacentral:tRNA from 1 species